UACAUGGGGUGCAAACGUUGCUCGGAAUCAUUGGGCGUAAAGCGCGCGUAGGCGGUUACUUAAGUUGGAUGUGAAAUCCCCGGGCUCAACCUGGGAACUGCAUUUGUGACUGCAUAGCUAGAGUACGGUAGAGGGGGAUGGAAUUCCGCGUGUAGCAGUGAAAUGCGUAGAGAUGGGGGAGAACACUCGUGGCGAAGGCGGCCAGCUAGACCAGUUCUGACACUGAGGCGCGAAAGCCAGGGGAGCGAACGGG
rnacentral:rRNA from 1 species